rnacentral:rRNA from 1 species
GUCUUGAAACACGGACCAAGGAGUCUUGCAUGUGCGCGAGUCAUUGGGAAUAACUAAACCUAAAGGCGCAAUGAAAGUGAAGGUCCGCCUCGCGCGGACCGAGGGAAGAUGGGCGGACGGGCCUAACACGCUCGCCGUCCCGCACUCCCGGGGCGUCUCGUUCUCAUCGCGAGAAGAGGCGCACCAAGAGCGUACACGCUGGGACCCGAAAGAUGGUGAACUAUGCCUGGUCAGGACGAAGUCAGGGGAAACCCUGAUGGAGGUCCGUAGCGAUUCUGACGUGCAAAUCGAUCGUCGGAACUGGGUAUAGGGGCGAAAGACUAAUCGAACCAUCUAGUAGCUGGUUCCCUCCGAAGUUUCCCUCAGGAUAGCUGGCGCUCGUCGCCUACGAGUCUCAUCCGGUAAAGCGAAUGAUUAGAGGCAUUGGGGUCGAAACGGCCUCAACCUAUUCUCAAACUUUAAAUGGGUGAGAUCUCCGGCUUGCUCGAACUACUGAAGCCGCGAGACACGGAUCAGAGUGCCAAGUGGGCCAUUUUUGGUAAGCAGAACUGGCGCUGUGGGAUGAACCAAACGUCGAGUUAAAGCGCCUAAAUCGACGCUUAUGGGAUACCAUGAAAGGCGUUGGUAACUUAAGACAGCAGGACGGUGGCCAUGGAAGUCGGAAUCCGCUAAGGAGUGUUGU